ACGACCACAGCUCGAAGAGAACACGGGAUCCCGUCCGCUCUCCCAUAGUUAAGCUUCGAAGCGCUGGAUUAGUAGUUGGGUCGGUGACGACCAGCGAAUCCCCGGUGUUGUAUGUU
rnacentral:rRNA from 1 species